rnacentral:rRNA from 1 species
UAGGGAAUCUUCGGCAAUGGACGGAAGUCUGACCGAGCAACGCCGCGUGAGUGAAGAAGGUUUUCGGAUCGUAAAGCUCUGUUGUUAGAGAAGAACGUUGGUAGGAGUGGAAAAUCUACCAAGUGACGGUAACUAACCAGAAAGGGACGGCUAACUACGUGCCAGCAGCCGCGGUAAUACGUAGGUCCCGAUCGUUGUCCGGAUUUAUUUGUCGUAAAGCGAGCGCAGGCGGUUCUUUAAGUCUGAAGUUAAAGGCAGUGGCUUAACUAUUGUACGCUUUGGAAACUGGUGGACUUGAGUGCAGAACGGGAGAGUGUAAUUCCAUUGGUAGCGGUGAAAUGCGUAGAUAUAUGGAGGCACACCGGUGUCGAAAGCGGCUCUCUGGUCUGUAACUGACGCUGAGGCUCGAAAGCGUGGGGAGCAAACAGG